rnacentral:rRNA from 1 species
GAUGAACGCUGGCGGCGUGCUUAAUACAUGCAAGUCGAACGAGGGGUUAGCAAUAACUCCUAGUGGCGAACGGGUGAGUAACGCGUUGGUGACCUGCCCCGAAGCGAGGAAUAACAGUUCGAAAGGACUGCUAAUACCUCAUGAUGUCUUAGAGGUUAGAGGCUUUAAGACGAAAGGAGCAGAUCCACUUUGGGAGGGGCCUGCGUCCCAUCAGCUAGUUGGUAGGGCAAUGGCCUACCAAGGCGACGACGGGUAGGGGACCUGAGAGGGUGACCCCCCACACUGGCACUGAAACACGGGCCAGACACCUACGGGUGGCAGCAGCAGGGAAUAUUGCACAAUGGGCGAAAGCCUGAUGCAGCAAUGCCGCGUGCGCGAAGAAGGCCUUCGGGUCGUAAAGCGCUUUUCGGGGAGAUGAGAAAGGACAGUAUCCCCGGAAUAAGGCUCGGCUAACUACGUGCCAGCCGCCGCCGUAACAC